AGUAACGUGUGGGCAACCUGCCCUGCACUGGGGAAUAAUCAUUGGAAACGAUGACUAAUACCGCAUACGGUUCCUGGGAGGCAUCUUCCGGGGAAGAAAGGAUUUAUUCGGUGCAGGAUGGGCCCGCAUCUGAUUAGCUAGUUGGUGAGAUAACAGCCCACCAAGGCGACGAUCAGUAGCCGACCUGAGAGGGUGACCGGCCACAUUGGGACUGAGACACGGCCCAGACUCCUACGGGAGGCAGCAG
rnacentral:rRNA from 1 species